CCUACGGGAGGCAGCAGUGAGGAAUAUUGGUCAAUGGACGAGAGUCUGAACCAGCCAAGUAGCGUGAAGGAUGACUGCCCUAUGGGUUGUAAACUUCUUUUAUAUGGGAAUAAAACAGGGUAUGCAUACCCUCUUGUAUGUACCAUAUGAAUAAGGAUCGGCUAACUCCGUGCCAGCAGCCGCGGUAAUACGGAGGAUCCGAGCGUUAUCCGGAUUUAUUGGGUUUAAAGGGAGCGUAGGUGGAUUGUUAAGUCAGUUGUGAAAGUUUGCGGCUCAACCGAAAAAUUGCAGUUGAAACUGGCAGUGGUGAGUACAGUAGAGGUGGGCGGAAUUCGUGGUGUAGCGGUGAAAUGCUUAGAUAGCACGAAGAACUCCGAUUGCGAAGGCAGCUCACUGGACUGCAACUGACACUGAUGCUCGAAAGUGUGGGUAUCAAACAGGAUUAGAUACCCGAGUAGUC
rnacentral:rRNA from 1 species